rnacentral:sRNA from 1 species
UUUGUGAUUCACCAGUUCUGCUGCCAGAAGGCUUUCUCCAAGGUGACUGAAUUUCUGGAACUGACAGAUGGAGGCUGAGGGACCUUGGUAAUACUGUGUCAGCUCCAAUGGCCAGUCAGGUAGAGCAGAGUCUUCAAAGCUGUAUCUCCGCGCCCUGCCCACCAUCUUCCCUCUGAUGCAGACCAAGCCUGCAGACCAGUGAGAGGAGAAGAAAUGAAGUCAGCUGACCCACAGUAGGCACUGCCAGAACUGGAUGCUGCUGGCUGUUGGCCAGGAUCUGAUCCGCUCCUUUGAGAGUGUCAGGAGCUGUGGAAGAGGCAGUGUCUCGCUCUGUUGCCCAGGCUGGAGUGCAGUGGCACAAUCACGGCUCACUGCUGCCUCAACCUUUGGUGCUCAAGUGAUUCUUCUAUUUCAGCUUUCCGAGCAGCUAAGACUACAGGAACUGAAGCUGCCCACCUUCCGAGCCCACUCCCCACUCCUGAAGAGCCGCCGGUUCUUCGUGGACAUCCUGACCCUGCUGAGCAGCCACUGCCAGCUCUGCCCUGCA